UCUUUGGGUUGGCUGGGGGUGCUGUGGCUCCAGGAUGUUAAAGGAGAUUUCUUUAGGGAUCCCCCAAGGGGAGGCGCAAAGUGACUAAGGAGGAAGAUGGGGAGUUUUCAGGGCACCACAGGUAGGAAGAGCCUGCUCUGUGUCUGGAAGGGCUUUUCUCUGAAGGAGACUUCCCCUCCUCCCUAGGGAGGACUUGUGGGUGCCCCCAGCCCACCCCCUGUGGCUGGAAGCUGAGACACGAGGACUGGUGUACAGGUCUCCAAAGGAGAAAGCCUGCCUUGCUGUUCUCCACUUCACCUGGCAGGGAACAGGCACCUGGUGCGGUGUGAAGGAUGUUACUGAGACCAGGAUCUGCUGGUGCCAGAGGGGUCCAGUGGUGUCUUUUGGCAGCCCUUGCUCCAGCAAAGCUCCCUUGGAUUCCAGGUCCGUGCUCCAACCUUACAGGGGCUCCUGGUUUUGGAGGCCAGAACAUCCUAACCAAGCUGCGUCCAGGCUGUGAUGCUAACAUUAGACAACGGGGAGGUGACUCAGCCCUUUCAGUACAUGUUUCCGUGUUCCCAGCUGCUGUAGGAAAUAAACAAACAGUGUGUGGACAAUUGGAGAUUCAUCUGUUAGCUGAAUGAACAAAAGAGAUCGAUGUUGGGCUUCGUUCUUCCGCUCUCCACCCAUCUUGGAAUUUGUUACCGCCCUGCCACUAACCGAAAUAACGUGGGGAC